AGUUAAUUUUUUAAUUAAUGGGACCUGGUCAGUGGUAUUAAAUAAAGCUUAAAUCAAUAUUAAACACAUGCCUUAGCGUGAGGGUAAUAAAGUAGCAUAAUCAACUGUCAUUUAAUUGAUGACCUGUAUGAAUGGUGAAACAAUUCUAUUAUUGUCUCAGCAAUAAGUUUUUUGAAAUUACAGUUAGAGUGAAUAUUCUCUAAACCAUUUAUUAGACGAUAAGACCCCUUAAACCUUUACUAUAAACUGCUGUUCUAGCUGUUUGGUAGUUUGAUUGGGGCGAUCAUUUUUUAUAAAAACAAAAAUAAAUAAAAGCUUAAUGCAUCAUUACUUAAUAAAAGUAUAUUUAUAAACAUAAUUUAUUUAUAAGCUUAUGACCAUAAAAAAUUUUAUAUGAUUAAUAAAAGGUACUUAGGGGAUAACAGCGUAAUUUUUAUUAUUAGAAGAUAUAAUGAUAAAAGCUUGCGACCUCGAUGUUGAAUUGAAGCUUCCCAAUAUUGCAGAAGAUAUUAAAGGUUGGAUUGUUCAUCCAUAAAAGCUUU
rnacentral:rRNA from 1 species